ensembl:misc_RNA 7SK 7SK RNA
GGAUGUGGGGGUGAUCUCGCUGUGACAUCUGUCACCCCAUUGAUCACCAGAGUGGAUUUGGUUAAUCUGGCUGGGUGGGUGGGUGUCCCCUUCCUCCCUCACCACUCCAUGCGUGUCCCUCCCAAAGCUGCAAGGUCUAAGAGGACUUCCUUCCCUGGAAUAGAGACAGGUAGCUUUAUUCCCCUUCUAGAAACUCCAAACAAGCUUUUAGCUUGAUGUGGGGCCCUGGCAGGUUGGCUUAGUGGCUGGAGGGGUUGUGAACUCUUGAAUGGAAAUGUAUCUGCACGCCGUGUUUCAGAAAGUAUAGUGAUCC